rnacentral:rRNA from 1 species
ACGAACGCUGGCGGCGUGCCUAAUACAUGCAAGUAGAACGCACAGUUUAUACCGUAGCUUGUUACACCAUAAACUGUGAGUUGCGAACGGGUGAGUAACGCGUAGGUAACCUGCCUGGUAGCGGGGGAUAACUAUUGGAAACGAUAGCUAAUACCGCAUAAUAUUGAUUAUUGCAUGAUAAUUGAUUGAAAGAUGCUAUUGCAUCACUACCAGAUGGACCUGCGUUGUAUUAGCUAGUAGGUGAGGUAACGGCUCACCUAGGCGACGAUACAUAGCCGACCUGAGAGGGUGAUCGGCCACACUGGGACUGAGACACGGCCCAGACUCCUACGGGAGGCAGCAGUAGGGAAUCUUCGGCAAUGGACGAAAGUCUGACCGAGCAACGCCGCGUGAGUGAAGAAGGUUUUCGGAUCGUAAAGCUCUGUUGUAAGAGAAGAACGGGUGUGAGAGUGGAAAGUUCACACUGUGACGGUAUCUUACCAGAAAGAGACGGCUAACUACGUG